GGGCCCAGGGCGACAGCGGAGCCUUCACACCGCUUUCUCCGCGCGCUGAUGGAGGAUUCCUGGCCUCACAGCAGUGCCUGGCCUGUGGGCGUCCCCGGCAGUCCUCGGCUGCGGGACCUGUAUCGGGACUGCGCAAAGUGGGCUUCCAGGAGAGCAGGGCGUCCCUCAGUCAGCUGACCCCUUGGAGCGUGGGGCAGCCCAGGCCCGUGAGGCCGCCAGUGUCACCCUCAGGCCCGCGAGGCCCCCGAGCCCCUUGUGGGGUCCAAGGCCCAUUCUGGAUCAGUCACGAGGCAAGACCGCGGACCCUCAGGAGAUCACCAGGAGCCCGCCGCGCAUUCCUCCGCCUCCACCACGCCAGUCACCUGCUCAGCCCGAGGGCAGCCAGCGGCCGUCGCCCCAGUGAGGCGGCCGGUGAGGAGCUGAGGCCGUGACCAGGGCAGCGCCCCGCGAGUCAGCGUCAGUCCCCGCGCCAGCCAGUUCCUCAGACAAUCAGCUCACCAUUCCCAUCGCGUAUGCUGGGAAAUCAUCAAUAUACCCGCUGUCAUGAUCCAUUUCUCUGUUCCUUUUUGUGUUUCUGCAACAUGACCUCAGUUCUCUCAGGAAGCCCCAAAACCUGUGAAACUAACCUGUGCUUGCAGCUCUGCUUGCUGCCAGAAACAAAGGCUGGGAGCCAGCAACAGGAACCAGCCAGGGGAUGAGUUCAGCCCAGACGUGCUGCCUGGACCUGGAUUCCUGCCUCAGUGCAGGCCUUGACCUGAUUUCUUGCUUCAUUACCAUACUAAAAUCUCCACUCAGGGGCGAGAACUAUGCCUUGCUAGGCACAGAAGGUGCCAAGUACAAAAGAAAACACAAGAGUGUGCACACUUCAGCCCCUCCUGAAGGAACCCACCUUUUUCCAGAUCUGCCCGCCUCAGUCUCCAACUACCUGCCCUAAGGGCCCUUAAGAUCCCCUUUUACCAACCCCUGGGAGAAGGUGCUUUGCACAUGAACUCCCUUUCUCCAUUUCUUGAUCAAUGAAUAAAGUUUCUUCUCCGCUUUGCCGAUUCUGGUCUCAUUCUAUUGGCGUAAGUGGCAGGGGGCAGAGAAAGGACCCACUAGGGCCAACUCACCCCUCCAAGGGUGGGUAACAUUUGCAGCAAAACUCCUCAAGAGGUUGUUUGUCGUCACUCUUCCUACCUUCCUUUCUUCGGUUAUUUUCCAAACGAGCUUCCAAUCAAGUCCCCCACCCUUUCACACAUGUUCAUCAAAGCUGCCAUUGCCAGUUAUCUC
rnacentral:lncRNA from 1 species